AUACGGAGGAUCCGAGCGUUAUCCGGAUUUAUUGGGUUUAAAGGGUGCGCAGGCGGGAGAUUAAGUCGGCGGGGAAAUUUUUCAUGUCAAACGUAAUAAGGCCUUCGAAACUGGGUUUCUUGGGGGUAGAAUAAGUAGCGGGGUUUUGUGGUGUGGCGGUGGAAUGCAUAGAUAUCACGAGGAACUCCGAUUGCGCAGGCAGCUUACUAAACUACUACUGACGCUCAGGCACGAAGGCGUGGGGAUCAAACAGGAUUAGAUGCCCUGGUAGUCCACGCAGUAAACGAUGAUUACUAGCUGUUUGCGAUACAAUGUAAGCGGCUGAGCGAAAGCGUUAAGUAAUCCACCUGGGGAGUACGUUCGCAAGAAUGAAACUCAAAGGAAUUGACGGGG
rnacentral:rRNA from 1 species